CUAAAAUGGAAUUCUCUGAGGUAGAUGGUUAGUGAGUUACGCCCUUAAGUGUGGGCUUCUAGUACGUUAGUGCAUAAAUUUUGGAGGUAGAAUACGUAUACCACAGGCUUGCUUUGGAGAGUUAAAGGUCAAGAAUUGCUGGCUACAUAUGUAUGACAUAUGAUUGAAAAAGUGAUUGAAAGUUCUAUUCAGACAAAAGAAGUUGCAUAGGAAUUUGAGGUCAAAAGCUGCUGAAAGAGACCAAAUAGAUACCAGCAUGUGGUUCAGGUUUUCCGAUGGAGCAUUCAAGGCUGGCUUUUUUUAAUAUGUAAUUGCAGCAAAUAGU